rnacentral:rRNA from 3 species
AAAUUGAAGAGUUUGAUCAUGGCUCAGAUUGAACGCUGGCGGCAGGCCUAACACAUGCAAGUCGAACGGUAGCACAGAGAGCUUGCUCUCGGGUGACGAGUGGCGGACGGGUGAGUAAUGUCUGGGAAACUGCCUGAUGGAGGGGGAUAACUACUGGAAACGGUGGCUAAUACCGCAUAACGUCGCAAGACCAAAGAGGGGGACCUUCGGGCCUCUUGCCAUCAGAUGUGCCCAGAUGGGA